rnacentral:lncRNA from 1 species
ACUCGUGACCUCGCCAGCUCUCAGCUCCCUCGGGCGAUUUCGUGCACGCUAAUGUGCGCCUCUGUGUUUUCCUAAAUGCUGGUUUCUUCAUCAAGCGGCGGAAUAACGCAUCAGGGCAGGUGACCCACGUCACCGGGGUGAUGCACUGGUGCUCGCCGGGGCGGGCGCUGUGCCUGCGGGAGCCGCGCGGCCGGCGCGGUGUCGGGGCGCCUCGUGGGGGCCGAGCCGCGCCCGCACGUCCCUCAGAACUCUCAGUGAGUGUCAGAUCAACACAUUCAUCCACCAUAUCCCGUGUGUAUAAGAACAAUCCAUCACUCCUGACCUAAUCCAGCACAGAACAGAACUUCUGGAAGAGGACUAAAGAAGAGAAAGAGUGGAAGUGUCACAUGCCCAGAGGAAAAUAGAUGCGACAGAGAUGAAUAAAACAAAACAAAACAAAAGGAAGAAAGCCAAGCUAAUCUGGGAGUUCCAUCACGGCUAAGAACGCAUCUUUGUUUUGUCACGCGGUUUCUAGCCCGGCUCAGACCUGGGCUGCGGCACCUCAGGCAUCUCCUUUCAUCUCUCGGCUUUUCUCCUGGCUCCCGGGCGCUUCUCGAGACUUUUUGGACCUGGACUGGUCCAUGGCAGAACACCUCUUUCCUGAGUCCUCCCUAUGCACCUGCCCAAAGCGGGGGAU